rnacentral:rRNA from 1 species
CCUACGGGCGGCAGCAGUAGGGAAUUUUGCGCAAUGGGCGAAAGCCUGACGCAGCAACGCCGCGUGAUCGAGACGCCCUUCGGGGUGUAAAGAUCUGUCAGUGGGGACGAAACUUGACGGUAUCCAACCAGAAAGUCACGGCUAACUACGUGCCAGCAGCCGCGGUAAUACGUAGGUGGCAAGCGUUAUCCGGAUUUAUUGGGCGUAAAGAGUUCGUAGGCGGCACGUAAAGUCUGGUGUUAAAGGCAGAGGCUCAACUUCUGUACGGCACGGGAUACUUGCGAGCUAGAAUGCGGUAGAGGUAAAGGGAAUUCCUGGUGUAGCGGUGAAAUGCUUAGAUAUCAGGAGGAACAUCGGUGGCGUAAGCGCUUUACUGGGCCGUAAUUGACGCUGAGGAACGAAAGCCAGGGUAGCAAAUGGGAUUAGAUACCCUUGUAGUC